UCUUGAUAGCAAAACGAACAGAAUAAAAACUUUUGAUAAAAGAAAGAGUUGCGUAUAUAAACUAAAAUUUAAAUUUAAUUUUUAUUUUUAUUAGAAUUUUAGUUAAUUUUAAUCAUGUAUUGUUUGAAAAACUAGUGAUUGAAGAAAUUUAUGUACAGAAAAUUUUUAAUCAUCUAAGAAGAUGGUAAGUGACAAUAUUCAUGUAUAGAGAUUGUUUUUAUAAAUUGGGAUGAUGAUAAGUAGGAAUUAGUGUCUUUUUUUUUUUUUUUUUUUUGCAAUAAUUUCUUAUUUAAAAUGGUUGAUCGGUUUACUGAUGACGUGUUGCUAGCAUCUUCAUUCGCCUGUCUUUUGGCUCUUGGUAGUGAAAUCAUUUUUCUCUUCAGCGCUGCUUCACGCUGCCCCUUCCUUGCCAUCUUGAUUAGUUUCUUUGUCCCGAUCUUUAUGUCUAAAGCAAGUGAACUUGGAAAAGGAGGUGAAUUACUUCUGUUCCGAGCACUGGAAUGAGAUUGUUGGAUUUGGGCAUAAAGCAAUCAAAUUAGGAGACUUACAUAUAAUCGAAGAGAGGGAGACACUUCAUUUGAUGUGGGCCAUUGACGAUGGAUUCAUGAGAUAUAGAUGGAUCAGUAUUUUCAAUAUGAAAUGGGAGUAUCAGACAAAUUUUUCCUCCGAGAAUUUGUAGAGUUAUCUAAUGAUGGCACUGGUGAGAUAUGCCACAGUGAUGCAAAGCGCUUUUUAUCAGCAGGACAAGUAGGCUCCUCUGUCCAUGAUGCAGAGAAUAUGAGUUCAAGCAUCUACUAGUAGUCAUCAAUGUUAAGAGGGCUUUCUCUGCAAUUUUAUUAGCACGUUGUUGGAUCAAAGAAACAAUGUACUCCAUGAAGACUGCAUCGCAAGGUAAUGUGAUUGGUCCAUCACUUGGUAGUCCAAUCUCUUCAUCUGACAUUUUAAAGAGUUCUUUAACAAUGGGAUUGUUGAGAUAUGCUAUAGGAAAUGAAAAAUGCCUUUUAUCAGCUGUGUAAACAAAAAAAUGACUCUUAUCUGUUACCGGUGGUGCAUUGUUAGCGUUCUGGUUUGCAUAUCUACUGGAUCUUGGUAAUGAAAUCCUUUUCCUUCGGAGGGCUACUACCCUCUACCACUUUUUUGCCCUCUUGAUGAGUUUUUUGUGUUGAUCAUUCUGUCUUGAGCAAGUGAACUUAGAAAACAAAGAGGUAAAUCACUUGUUUUGUUGAGUAUCAGAAUGAAAUUGUUGACCUGAUGCAUAAUGCAAUGGAACUGGAUGUCGUAUAUACCUUGAGACCAGUGAGACAUUUUUUUUCAUGCAAAAAUUUGAUGGAGAAUCAUCUUUCAUCUUCACAUGGGCCUAUUUGGUUAUCCAUUGACUGGGGACCCAUCAAUAUGAUAGUUGGGAAGCAUGAGAAUGCGAAUAAGAACCUGGCAGAGGCUAUAGCUUGCAGAUAAUGCAUUCAAAUUCGAGAUUGAAUUGGAUCAACAAUUACAUUCAAGUACUCAACUAUUACAUCCUUCUUUCCGAGCUUCACUCGCUUAAGGCACAAUGAUCAGCACAAAGAAACUCAUCAAAAUGGCAAGGAAGUGGCAGAGAAUAGCAGCCCUCAAGAGAAAAAAAAUUUCACUGCCACGAGAGAGUAAAGGCAGCAACAUGCCAGCAGUGGCAGAUAAGGGCCAUUUUGUUGUAUACUCCGCAGAUCAAACGCGUUUUGUCUUCCCUAUGGCAUAUCUCAACAAUCCUGUUAUCAGAGAACUCUUUGAAAUGUCGAAGGAAGAGUUUGGGCUACCAAGUGAUGGACCAAUCACAUUGCUGUGUGAUGCAGUGUUCAUGGAGUAUGUCAUCUAUUUGAUUAAAAGAAAUGCUGCAAAAGAUGUAGAGAUAGCGUUGCUUAUGUCUAUAUCUACUGCUCACUGCCCACCUAUUUCAAGUUUCCAUUUAGAGCAAAGUGGACAACAGUCACUAAUUUGUGGCUUUUGAAGGAUUUUUUUUCUUGUAGACAGAUUAUACCUGUAGAUUAACAGCUAACAUGUGUACCUAAUGAGGAAUAAAAAAUUUUUCUUUGAUAAAUCUUUUAUUUAUUAUGUUUAAAGAGAGAUAGACACUGCUUAUUAAAAUUCUGAAUGAAAAAAAUGGCUUGAAAUAUAAACAGUAUAUGACAAAAAAAUUGAUUAUCCAUGAAUAUGGAAGAGCAACCAUAAGGAUAUCAUAUAGAAAACUAUGAGGGGAUUAGUCCCUAGAAAUAUACUUCAGGUUCCUGUAGGCCUGCUCAUUAAUCUGUGGCAACUUCUAAAGCUGGUGUAGAAUCUGGGCUCACAAGCUAUUUUUAUGUUGAUUUUACAAUCCGGGCCUUGGUUUGCUGGCUAUAUUUUCAUAUUUUGGGAGACAAAAAAAUAUUCAUUGCCCAUCAACAUACUCCUCAAUGAUCAUGCAUAACAGGCUGCAGACAAUCAUUAGAGUAAGUUUUUUCUGCACGUACAUAGACCUCCUGGGAGACUGAUUUUUCAUCUACUAGUCUCUUUCUAGUAAGGGUGGCCAUAUUAAGCAUAACUCUUUUAGCCCAUCCUUCAAACAUUGUUAUUGAAUAGUGCAACUGUGAUUGCAGCUUACUAAAGUUCUUCUGAUUCUUAUUAUCUUUGCAGAGUUGAUUGAAAUUUGUGAAGAUAGAAAUGCUGGUUGUUGAAAUAUUAAGCCCUUACUGGCAAUUAAAAAAUUAUAAAAAGAAAAGGCUCACAUCUUAGCAGAUAAACGUCUCUGCAUUCAUUUUUUGAUUAAUCCUAUCCAGCUGCACAAGUUUCGUAUGCAUAGGCUAAGCAACUAACUAACAAAAUAAUUACUCACAUUUUCUUUUCUAUCUCAUUAUUUCAUUAAUUAUUUAAACUGUUAAUAACAUGAAGAAAGUAACUAUAGACUAAAUUAAAGGACUUGUUAGGGCUUCAUAUCUUGAAAAUUAGAUACAUAAACAAGAAAUAGAGAUAUGAAAUGAGUAUGUUGGAAAACUAAUUAGGUAAAAGAUUUUCAUUAAAUAUGAGUCAUUUACAAAAUCCUUGCCUUGAGAUAUUUAGAAACUACAAAUUAGUGACUGGUGGCAUCUCUGUUCUCGAUGCAAAGAGUAUGACAGAGGAGCAUCUUCCUGUAGCCAUUGACAUUAGUGGAGCUUUCUCCAUGCUUCCAUCAACCUGCCAUUGAAUCAAAGAAAUUAUAUUCUCCAUGAAGAUUUCAUCACAAGGCAAUGUGAUUGGUCCAUCAGUUGAUAGGCCAAAAUCUCGACAUUUUAAAGAGUUAUCUAAUAAUUGGAUUGUUGAGAUAUGCUAUAGGAAAGGCAAACCACCUUUCAUCAGCGGUAUAGAAAACAAAUGACCCUUAUCUGCCGCUGAUGCUGCAUUACUAGCAUUUUCAUUGGCAUUUCUUCUGGCUCUUGGUACCAAAAUUCUUUUUCUCUUGAGUGCUGCUACAUGCUACCACUUUCUUGCCAUCUUGAUGAGUUUUUUUGUCCCAAUCAUUGUGUCUAAAGCAAGUGAUCUUGGAAAAGGAGGUGACCUACUUCUGUUCAGAGCACUAGAUUGUUGGACUUGAGCAGAAAGCAAUGAAGUUAAGAGACUUACAUAUAAUUGGAGAAAGUGAAACACUUCAUUUCAUGUGGGCCAUGGAUGAUAGAUUCAUGAGAGAAUAUGAACGCAAGCAUCUACUACUAGCCAUCGACAUUAAGAGGGCUUUCUCCGUAGUCUUAUCAGCAUGUCGUUGGAUAAAAGAAACUAUAUACUCUAUGAAAAAUGCAUCACAAGGCA